UGAGACAGUUCGGUCUCUAUCUAUCGUGGGCGUGGGAGUCUUGCGUGGUCCGGCCACUAGUACGAGAGGACCGUGGUUGACCGACCUCCGGUUUGCCGGUUGUACCGCCAGGUGCACCGCCGGGUAUCCGCGUCGGGAUCGGAUAAGCGCUGAAAGCAUCUAAGUGCGAAGCCGGCCACAAGAUGAGGGCUCCAUGAGGGUCGUCGGAGACUACGACGUCGAUAGGCAGCAGGUGUAAAGACGGCGACGUCAAAGCCGAGCUGUACUAAUUGCCCGAAGGCUUCCGCCG
rnacentral:rRNA from 1 species